GAUGAACGCUGGCGGCGUGCUUAACACAUGCAAGUCGAACGGAAAGGCCCCUGCUUUCUGGGGUACUCGAGUGGCGAACGGGUGAGUAACACGUGGGUGAUCUGCCCUGCACUUUGGGAUAAGUCUGGGAAACUGGGUCUAAUACCGGAUAGGACCUCCUUUUGCAUGGUGUGGUGGGGAGAUUUUCGGUGGGGGAUGAGCUCGCGGCUUAUUAGCUUGUUGGUGGGGUAGUGGCCUACCAAGGCGUCGACGGGUAGCCGGCCUGAGAGGGUGUACGGCCACAUUGGGACUGAGAUACGGCCCAGACUCCUACGGGAGGCAGCAGUGGGGAAUAUUGCACAAUGGGCGCAAGCCUGAUGCAGCGACGCCGCGUGGGGGAUGACGGCCUUCGGGUUGUAAACUGCUUUCGCUUGGGACGAAGCGCAAGUGACGGUACCGGGUGAAGAAGCACCGGCUAACUACGUG
rnacentral:rRNA from 1 species